CCUACGGGAGGCAGCAGUGAGGAAUUUUGCGCAAUGGGGGAAACCCUGACGCAGCAACGCCGUGUGAGUGAAGAAGGCUUUCGGGUCGUAAAGCUCUGUCAAGUGGGAAAAAGCCCUUUCGAUUAAUACCCGGAAGGAUUGAUGGUACCAUUAAAGGAAGCACCGGCUAACUCCGUGCCAGCAGCCGCGGUAG
rnacentral:rRNA from 1 species